GACGAACGCUGGCGGCGUGCUUAACACAUGCAAGUCGAACGGAAAGGCCCUGCUUUUGUGGGGUGCUCGAGUGGCGAACGGGUGAGUAACACGUGAGUAACCUGCCCUUGACUUUGGGAUAACUUCAGGAAACUGGGGCUAAUACCGGAUAGGAGCUCCUGCUGCAUGGUGGGGGUUGGAAAGUUUCGGCGGUUGGGGAUGGACUCGCGGCUUAUCAGCUUGUUGGUGGGGUAGUGGCUUACCAAGGCUUUGACGGGUAGCCGGACUGAGAGGGUGACCGGCAACAUUGGGACUGAGAUACGGCCGAGACUCCUACGGGAGGCAGCAGUGGGGAAUAUUGCACAAUGGGCGGAAGCCUGAUGCAGCAACGCCGCGUGCGGGAUGACGGCCUUCGGGUUGUAAACCGCUUUCGCCUGUGACGAAGCGUGAGUGACGGUAAUGGGUAAAGAAGCACCGGCUAACUACGUG
rnacentral:rRNA from 1 species